AUGCACGCUGGCGGCGUGCCUAAUACAUGCAAGUCGAGCGAACGGACGAGAAGCUUGCUUCUCUGAUGUUAGCGGCGGACGGGUGAGUAACACGUGGAUAACCUACCUAUAAGACUGGGAUAACUUCGGGAAACCGGAGCUAAUACCGGAUGAUAUUUUGAACCGCAUGGUUCAAAAGUGAAAGACGGUCUUGCUGUCACUUAUAGAUGGAUCCGCGCUGCAUUAGCUAGUUGGUAAGGUAACGGCUUACCAAGGCAACGAUGCAUAGCCGACCUGAGAGGGUGAUCGGCCACACUGGAACUGAGACACGGUCCAGACUCCUACGGGAGGCAGCAGUAGGGAAUCUUCCGCAAUGGGCGAAAGCCUGACGGAGCAACGCCGCGUGUGUGAUGAAGGUCUUCGGAUCGUAAAACUCUGUUAUUAGGGAAGAACAUAUGUGUAAGUAACUGUGCACAUCUUGACGGUACCUAAUCAGAAAGCCACGGCUAACUACGUG
rnacentral:rRNA from 1 species